CAGUAGCCGCGGUAAUACGGAGGGUGCAAGCGUUACUCGGAAUCACUGGGCGUAAAGCGUGCGCAGGCGGUUUGUUAAGACAGAUGUGAAAUCCCCGGGCUCAACCUGGGAACUGCAUUUGUGACUGGCAAGCUAGAGUGUGGCAGAGGGGGGUGGAAUUCCGCGUGUAGCAGUGAAAUGCGUAGAUAUGCGGAGGAACACCGAUGGCGAAGGCAGCCCCCUGGGCCAACACUGACGCUCAUGCACGAAAGCGUGGGGAGCAAACAGGAUUAGAUACCCCAGUAGUCCCUGUCUCUUAUAC
rnacentral:rRNA from 1 species